GGUUAUUAAAAAUAUAAGAACAUUUUCCGAAUCAAGUUAGUUAGUCAGAUAAAACAACCGUACGAUUGACAAGAUAUCGACACGUAAUUACGACAACAUCGGUUACUGUAGUUUUGUUUCUUUAUGGUUUAUAGACAUAUCGUGAUUUUUAUUUGGACAAGAUAACAAAAUGGCGGAACGCAAAGAACUGAUACUCAAAAUUUAAAAUCGAUGGUGAUCUCUUAUCUAGCGGAAUAAAACUUUAAUAUUUAUAAAUUUGAUCAUUUUUAUACAGAAUGGACAUAAUAUGAAUUUUUGAUUUUUUUGCGAAGUUUCCCUUUAAGGU
rnacentral:lncRNA from 1 species